rnacentral:rRNA from 1 species
CGCGGCCUAUCAGCUUGUUGGUGGGGUAGUGGCCUACCAAGGCGACGACGGGUAGCCGGCCUGAGAGGGUGACCGGCCACACUGGGACUGAGACACGGCCCAGACUCCUACGGGAGGCAGCAGUGGGGAAUAUUGCGCAAUGGGCGGAAGCCUGACGCAGCGACGCCGCGUGGGGGAUGACGGCCUUCGGGUUGUAAACCUCUUUCAGCAGGGACGAAGCGAAAGUGACGGUACCUGCAGAAGAAGCACCGGCCAACUACGUGCCAGCAGCCGCGGUAAUACGUAGGGUGCAAGCGUUGUCCGGAAUUAUUGGGCGUAAAGAGCUCGUAGGCGGUCUGUCGCGUCGGCUGUGAAAUCCCGAGGCUCAACCUCGGGUCUGCAGUCGAUACGGGCAAACUGGAGUACUGCAGGGGAGACUGGAAUUCCUGGUGUAGCGGUGAAAUGCGCAGAUAUCAGGAGGAACACCGGUGGCGAAGGCGGGUCUCUGGGCAGUAACUGACGCUGAGGAGCGAAAGCGUGGGGAGCGAACAGGAUUAGAUACCCUGGUAGUCCACGCCGUAAACGUUGGGCGCUAGGUGUGGGGCUCAUUCCACGAGUUCCGUGCCGCAGCUAACGCAUUAAGCGCCCCGCCUGGGAGUACGGA